rnacentral:rRNA from 1 species
AGUGAACGCUGGCGGCAGGCCUAAUACAUGCAAGUCGAACGGCAGCACAGCAGAGCUUGCGUCUGUGGGUGGCGAGUGGCGGACGGGUGAGGAAUACAUGGGAAUCUGCCCAGUCGUGGGGGAUAACGUAUGGAAACGUACGCUAAUACCGCAUGCGCCCUACGGGGGAAAGUCGGGGACCGCAAGGCCUGGCGCGAUUGGAUGAGCCCAUGUUCGAUUAGCUAGUUGGCGGGGUAAAGGCCCACCAAGGCGACGAUCGAUAGCUGGUCUGAGAGGAUGAUCAGCCACACUGGAACUGAGACACGGUCCAGACUCCUACGGGAGGCAGCAGUAGGGAAUAUUGGACAAUGGGGGCAACCCUGAUCCAGCCAUGCCGCGUGAGUGAAGAAGGCCCUCGGGUUGUAAAGCUCUUUUGUCCGGAAAGAAAAGCAAUCGGUUAAUCCCGGUUGUCUGACGGUACCGGAAGAAUAAGCACCGGCUAACUUCGUGCCA